rnacentral:lncRNA from 13 species
AAAGGUGGGGGAGGGUGGCCAGUGCCUCCCUGCCAGGCUCUGUCUGUGUCAUCUGGAGCAGCACGGACCCUUCAGUCUCCAUUCUCUCUUCAGGAAAGAGGCCUCCUCAUAGAUGGACACACCAAGGCUCAGAGUUGUCGGUGUGAUGAUUCCCUACAUACUUCAGGAUGCAUCCUCUGUCGUCAGACUGGGCUGCAAGAUAGAACAUAACAUGCAUAUGGCUGACAUCAAAAGGAGCCCUUUCAAGCUGGCAUCU